GCAUGUUUGUUUCCUUUGUUUGUUUGUUUUUUGUUGUUGUUUUUUCUGCUUCAAGAAGCGCAGUAAAAUCCCAUGAUUGGGCAGAUGUUAGCAUCAUUCUGAAUCUGAAUAGAAUGGGCCUGUUACUUCUUUGUUCUAUUUAGGCGACAACUUUUCUAUCAAACGCGAAAAAUAUCAACUGAACUGGAACCCGACGGUCAAAGUUUGUAAAACCGAUUUGCAAUAUCGAUAGCGAUUGUGACGUACCGAUGUUCAUAACAAUGUCGUCUGUAUCUCUUUUUUUCCUAUAGAUUGUUUUCUACUCGACUGAGAUAUUUUUACUUGCUGGACUAACAGACAGACAAACUGCGUUAGCUUCUCUUGCAUGGGGUGCUGUCUUCUGCACAGUAACUACUUUUGAGUACUUCGCCAAUAUAUCAAGAUUUCAACGGAAGCCUUUUCUUCUCUCAAUGUACGGGCUACUAACGCUGAGUGCAUCUGCUUUGACAGUGUUUCUUAUUUUUGAGCACCAUGUCUCAUGGCUAUCAUGGUUUGCCCUCAUAGCUGUCUGUGUCUUUUUCAUUGCAUACGCACUAGGUCCAGCAAUAUUCACCCCAUUAGUCUGUUCUGAACUGUGGUCUGUUGGUCCUAGACAGGCCGCCCUCUCCGUUACACAACAGAUAAACUGGUGGGUCGACGUCAUCAUCCAGUUCAUCUUCCCCGUUCUUUUAGUGAGUACAAUUUUUAGCUGUGACGAUUAA